GAGGAAGAAGGAAGAGGGGAUUUGGCCAUGACCAGAGGGUAGGAGACAGACCACUCUGGAAACAGCUGACGUUCUCCCCCAGGAGCCUGUGUGUGGAUGCGGCUGUUAGCAUCAGAAGUUGCAGAUCCACCCCACCCCACCCCAAAUCAGUCUUUACCUGCUAUGAGGGAACUGGAAGCUGCAAGCAUCCUCAGCUGGCAACUGCACCUCCAGGAGUGGCUGGGUCUCUGUAGUAAAACUAUGGUGGGAGGUGUGGAGACCAUUGUGAUUGUGAUAGACCCAGGAAAUCUGGUCUGACACCCUUUUAAACUGCAGUUGGAGGAGGCUGAGAAAGU
rnacentral:lncRNA from 1 species